UACGGGAGGCAGCAGUGGGGAAUAUUGCACAAUGGGCGCAAGCCUGAUGCAGCCAUGCCGCGUGUAUGAAGAAGGCCUUCGGGUUGUAAAGUACUUUCAGUCGUGAGGAAGGUGUUAAGGUUAAUAACCUUAGCAAUUGACGUUAGCGACAGAAGAAGCACCGGCUAACUCCGUGCCAGCAGCCGCGGUAAUACGGAGGGUGCGAGCGUUAAUCGGAAUUACUGGGCGUAAAGGGCACGCAGGCGGUUAAUUAAGUUGGAUGUGAAAUCCCCGGGCUUAACCUGGGAAUGGCAUUCAAGACUGGUUAGCUAGAGUCUUGUAGAGGGGGUAGAAUUCCAUGUGUAGCGGUGAAAUGCGUAGAGAUGUGGAGGAAUACCGAUGGCGAAGGCGGCCCCUGGGACAAAGACUGACGCUCAUGUGCGAAAGCGUGGGGAGCAAACAGGGAUUAGAUACC
rnacentral:rRNA from 1 species